rnacentral:piRNA from 1 species
UGCAUGGUUUUUCUUGCCAAUUUCUCUUGUA